rnacentral:lncRNA from 1 species
AUGUGGUCCAAACAGAAUCUCUCUUUGAUAAAUAUUCUGGCUGGGGGAAAGAAAAAAAAAAAAAAAAAGAAAGGAAAAAAAAAAAAAAAGAGAGAAAAAGGGAAACAAUUAAAAAAAAAAUUAAAAAGUAAAAGAAAAAACGGAGUUGGCAUUUCCUGUACUAAGUGCCGUAUUUUUUUAAUUUGUGUGUGUGUGAGAGAGAGAAACCGCAUGGCAUUUAACCCCUCCUCCGCCAGCUGCAAUCGAAACGAACUGCCUGCUCCAAGGCAGCACUGCCACCUGCUGUCCCUGCCGCUGUCCCUGCCGCUGUCCCCGCUGUCCCUGUUGCUCCCGGCCCCUCUCCCUCCCGCACGAUGCUGCCUGCCCUGGGCGGAGCGGAGCGCGGGGCACCGCGGGGUUUUGCCGCACGGCCGGGCGGUUCCGGCAUCAGCCCGCAGCGUCCCGCGCUGCUCCCCGCCCCAGAGAAAUGGCUCCGACAGUUCCUUGGAGUUGAGACCUUUAUUGGUACGGGUACGGCUCGAUGACGCGCGCGCAGCCCCGCGGAGACCUGUCCUUCGUGGGGGGCACCGGCGGUGUCCGCCCGCGGGGGCUGUGACCGAGCUGCCGGACAUUUCCUGGGCCGGUCCCUCCACCGCCCCACAUCGGGGCUGCCCGGGGGUUCCCGCUCGCAGCCGCGGCCCCGUACCUCGUUCCUGGCUCCUGCGGGGCUGCGGCUCCGCUCGGGGUCGGGCUGUCUCCAGGUGCAGAGCCGUGGCCCCAAGAACAGUAUUUCCAGGAAUCCCCAACGUAGCGCCUAAGGGAUUCCUGGGAAAACUGGACCCUGAGAGCACGGCGACCGCGGCUCCCACCGGCCCCUGCCCUGCACAGCUGCUCCUCUGGCCGCUCUGUGUGACCCUGCUGUCCCCACGCAGCACCCCUGCCCACCCCUACGCAGAGCUGGGAGCUCUGAGGAUCCUGACCGGGCGCAGGGGUGUUCCUCUGCCUCAAAGCAAACCUCCACUCCUCUGCCCUUCAGUCACAGGGAUACGGAGCAGAGGGGUGAGCCCUGCCCCAUGGCUGGGGGUCAGCAGCCCCUAUGGGAUCCUCAGGGGACACACUGCGUGUCUGCAGGCUCCGUUCUCUGUGCUUCCCCAUCAGAGGCAGUGUCCAAAACACAGCUGGGAGAGCCCCUGCUCCCACGAUGGGGGCCCAGCCCCAGAGGCAGCAGAGGGGAUUGGAGCAGACCCCCACAUCCAGUCAUGA